rnacentral:rRNA from 1 species
CCUACGGGUGGCAGCAGUGAGGAAUAUUGGUCAAUGGACGAGAGUCUGAACCAGCCAAGUAGCGUGAAGGAUGACUGCCCUAUGGGUUGUAAACUUCUUUUAUAUGGGAAUAAAAUGUUCCACGUGUGGGAUUUUGUAUGUACCAUAUGAAUAAGGAUCGGCUAACUCCGUGCCAGCAGCCGCGGUAAUACGGAGGAUCCGAGCGUUAUCCGGAUUUAUUGGGUUUAAAGGGAGCGUAGGUGGAUUGGUAAGUCAGUUGUGAAAGUUUGCGGCUCAACCGUAGAAUUGCAGUUGAAACUGGCAGUCUUGAGUACAGUAGAGGUGUGCGGAAUGCGUGGUGUAGCGGUGAAAUGCUUAGAUAUCACGAAGAACUCCGAUUGCGAAGGCAGUUCACUGGACUGCAACUGACACUGAGGCUCGAAAGUGUGGGUAUCAAACAGGAUUAGAUACCCCUGUAGUC